rnacentral:rRNA from 1 species
GGGGUGAAAAUGCCGCAGAGAUAUGGAGGGACACCAGUGGCGAAGCGACUUUNUGGUCUGUAACUGACGNUGAUGUGCGAAAGCNUGGGGAUCAAACAGGAUUAGAUACCCNUGGGUANUCCACNCCGUAAACGAUGAGUGCUAAGUGUUAGGGGGUUUCCGCCCCUUAGUGCUGCAGCUAACGCAUUAAGCACUCCGCCUGGGGAGUACGACCGCAAGGUUGAAACUCAAAGGAAUUGACCGGGGACCCGCACAAGCGGUGGAGCAUGUGGUUUAAUUCGAAGCAACGCGAAGAACCUUACCAAAUCUUGACAUCCUUUGACAACUCUAGAGAUAGAGCUUUCCCCUUCGGGGGACAAAGUGACAGGUGGUGCAUGGUUGUCGUCAGCUCGUGUCGUGAGAUGUUGGGUUAAGUCCCGCAACGAGCGCAACCCUUAAGCUUAGUUGCCAUCAUUAAGUUGGGCACUCUAAGUUGACUGCCGGUGACAAACCGGAGGAAGGUGGGGAUGACGUCAAAUCAUCAUGCCCCUUAUGAUUUGGGCUACACACGUGCUACAAUGGACAAUACAAAGGGCAGCGAAACCGCGAGGUCAAGCAAAUCCCAUAAAGUUGUUCUCAGUUCGGAUUGUAGUCUGCAACUCGACUACAUGAAGCUGGAAUCGCUAGUAAUCGUAGAUCAGCAUGCUACGGUGAAUACGUUCCCGGGUCUUGUACACACCGCCCGUCACACCACGAGAGUUUGUAACACCCGAAGCCCGGUGGAGUAACCAUUUGGAGNUAGCCGUCNAAGUGGACAAAUG